UCACAGUAGUACAGGCGAUGCCUGCUG
rnacentral:sRNA from 1 species